GACGAACGCUGGCGGCGUGCUUAACACAUGCAAGUCGUACGGUAAGGCCCUUUCGGGGGUACACGAGUGGCGAACGGGUGAGUAACACGUGAGUAACCUGCCCACAACUUUGGGAUAACGCUAGGAAACUGGUGCUAAUACUGGAUAUGUGCUCCUGCUGCAUGGUGGGGGUUGGAAAGCUCCGGCGGUUGUGGAUGGACUCGCGGCCUAUCGGCUUGUUGGUGGGGUAGUGGCCUACCAAGGCGGCGACGGGUAGCCGGCCUGAGAGGGUGACCGGCCACAUUGGGACUGAGAGACGGCCCAGACUCCUACGGGAGGCAGCAGUGGGGAAUAUUGCACAAUGGGCGCAAGCCUGAUGCAGCAGCGCCGCGUGCGGGAUGACGGCCUUCGGGUUGUAAACCGCUUUCAGCAGGGACGAAGCUUUUUGUGACGGUACCUGCAGAAGAAGCACCGGCUAACUACGUG
rnacentral:rRNA from 1 species